rnacentral:rRNA from 1 species
CCUACGGGAGGCAGCAGUGGGGAAUAUUGCACAAUGGGGGAAACCCUGAUGCAGCAACGCCGCGUGAGUGAUGAAGGCCUUCGGGUCGUAAAACUCUGUCCUCAAGGAAGAUAAUGACGGUACUUGAGGAGGAAGCCCCGGCUAACUACGUGCCAGCAGCCGCGGUAAUACGUAGGGGGCUAGCGUUAUCCGGAUUUACUGGGCGUAAAGGGUGCGUAGGUGGUUUCUUAAGUCAGGAGUGAAAGGCUACGGCUUAACCGUAGUAAGCUCUUGAAACUGGGAAACUUGAGUGCAGGAGAGGAAAGUGGAAUUCCUAGUGUAGCGGUGAAAUGCGUAGAUAUUAGGAGGAACACCAGUAGCGAAGGCGGCUUUCUGGACUGUAACUGACACUGAGGCACGAAAGCGUGGGGAGCAAACAGGAUUA